rnacentral:lncRNA from 1 species
GAUCCUUUAACCCACCCAUCUUAUCUUAUAGAGCCACCUCAACCUUGUAGGUUAGCCUAGACCCAAUUAAGAUUUCAUUCCUACACGUGGGUGCAUCUAUGGACCUUCAGAGCUGCCUUGGUCACAAUUGGGUUCAGUUAUCCUCUUCAUGGUCUCCUUUUGGUGUGCUCAGAGAUUGGUACAUGUUUGAGUCUCAGUUGGGCCACCUUUCUGCAUUGUGAUUAGUG